AGUGAACGCUGGCGGUAGGCCUAACACAUGCAAGUCGAACGGCAGCACAGUAAGAGCUUGCUCUUACGGGUGGCGAGUGGCGGACGGGUGAGGAAUACAUCGGAAUCUACUUUUUCGUGGGGGAUAACGUAGGGAAACUUACGCUAAUACCGCAUACGACCUACGGGUGAAAGCAGGGGAUCUUCGGACCUUGCGCGAUUGAAUGAGCCGAUGUCGGAUUAGCUAGUUGGCGGGGUAAAGGCCCACCAAGGCGACGAUCCGUAGCUGGUCUGAGAGGAUGAUCAGCCACACUGGAACUGAGACACGGUCCAGACUCCUACGGGAGGCACCAGUGGGGAAUAUUGGACAAUGGGCGCAAGCCUGAUCCAGCCAUACCGCGUGGGUGAAGAAGGCCUUCGGGUUGUAAAGCCCUUUUGUUGGGAAAGAAAAGCAGCAGGCUAAUACCCCGCUGUUCUGACGGUACCCAAAGAAUAAGCACCGGCUAACUUCGUG
rnacentral:rRNA from 1 species